UACGGAGGGGGCAAGCGUUGUUCGGAAUUACUGGGCGUAAAGGGCGCGCAGGCGGCUGCUCAAGUCAGGCGUGAAAGGCCUGGGCUCAACCCGGGAAUUGCGCUUGAGACCGGGCUGGCUUGAGUGCGGGAGAGGAUGGUGGAAUUCCCAGUGUAGAGGUGAAAUUCGUAGAUAUUGGGAAGAACACCGGUGGCGAAGGCGGCCAUCUGGACCGCAACUGACGCUGAGGCGCGAAAGCGUGGGGAGCAAACAGG
rnacentral:rRNA from 1 species